rnacentral:lncRNA from 1 species
AUACAAACACAAGAGACUUUAUAGUGGUUCGGAGCCAACUCUUGCUCCUACGUCCACUUCCUAAGCCGCACUUGAGAGUUCACUAUAAUUCCUAGGAUUACAGCCGGUUGUUUUACAAGUUCACAACCCAACUUGUUGUUUUUGCGAGAUCACAAUGAACUCGGUCGGUUUUCAUAGGCUCACCGACUAGAACCAUCCGAUU